rnacentral:lncRNA from 1 species
UCCCUCUCUAUAUCACCUCUCCCUUCUCUCUAGAACCUUCUGGUUCCCUCUCUUCUCCGAUGAACUCCACUGCCUCCCCGACCACAACCCCACCAGAAUCCAUGGCUUCUCAGGCCAUAGAUGACAUAUACUUACCUCAUAUUACUCCUAUGUGCAUGAUGCUUGAAGGUUCGAGACCAGACCUUCGCCGACUCAAGGUUUCUGGCCAUCUCUAGGUUUUGCUUAGGCAUAUCCUAGCCUCAUAAUCCUGAUUCCAACCUCAUUCGAUUUAAAUCGGACCUUUUCCAAAGCCUUUCUCACCCUAGGGUUCCUCUGAAACCCUAGCUAUUCGGGGUUUUUCUUUGAUUCUUUUUGGAUCCGUUGUGUUUCUAUGCUAUGCAUGAGUUUUCAAACAAUUUCCCUAAAUCUUUUUUUGAAAAUUACUCUCAAAAACCUUUCUUUGCCGACUUAGGGUUUCUGGAAAUAUUCAGGAGUUUUAUGAUUUUUUUUCUUCUUUGUGUGCAUCCUCUGUUGUACUGUGUUUUUCUAUAAUAUGUUCUUGUAAACUUUUCUACUAUAUUUUAUCAUGUUCUUGUAUGUUUAUCAUACUGUGUUUUCCUAUAUGCUUUCCUGUUAUACCUUUCGCGGCGAUUUUUUGUUUACUAUACUUUUCUUGCUAAGUCGUUAUGGAUCUUUGUCUGCCUUCUAUUAAGCUUUGUUUAGGGUUCUGCUAAGUAUGUUUCUCAUGUUGUUCCUGUCAGUAUUCGCCAAUAUGUACUUUGAAUCUUACUACUGUGAUUGCAUGUUACUCGUAUUAACCUUUGCUAUGUUCUCUCUACUAUUUACUAUGUGUGUUUACUGUUAAGUUAUUUUGAUUCUUGUUUACUGGACUCUGUUCAUAUUCUCAAAUGUUUCUUCUACUUGUGUUCACAUUGUAUUUUCUCCUUCUUCUGAACUUGUUUAGAUUCCGAGUUUUCUUAGAAUAUGUUCUUUAUGAUUCUUGUUCCUUUGCCAUUCAACAUGUUAUCAUACUUGUUUUGUUGAGACUCUGAAAAAAAUGGCUUGCUUCCAUGUUUGAUUCAAUUUUGAGACCCUAAGAUUUGGGGGGUUUCCUCUGAUGAUUUUGAUUAUUUCGAGUUAAGGCUCCGCUUUGGGACCCUAGACUCUUAGACUCACUGUGGGUCUUCAAAUUGAACUUGUGUCUCUUUGCUCAUGAUUUUGAGUCUUUAUGACUCUAAACUCCUCUCUCUUACAUAACUCGACAGUCUCUUCUUGUUUGACAUGUCUAUGUACUUAAUAUAUAAUAACUUUUCUUUCAAAAGAUUUUUCUUAUUGCAAAUUUAUUUUGAAUCCCUUUAAUGUUUUUUGCUUGAUUGUUACUGAUUUUUCCCUGAUUGAACUUUCCUUUACCUUUUUUCUUACCUGGUUCAUUCGAACAAGGUUUUCAACUUUGAUUUUUACUAGCUGUUAUUGAUUCCCUUUCCUUAUUUUUCACAAACCAAGUACCACUGAACGUUUGCCUUAAAUAUCUUUUAUGUAUUUACCCCUUAUGGUACUGCUUGGUAAAAUAUUCUGAUCAACUCUUUCCUUAGUUGUCUUUUACCCUUUUGAAAAUUAGAGUCCCUUAAUUAAAGGGAGAUUGAUUUCAAUGUUAUUUUCUUACCUUCUCUUACUUGCUUGUUGCACUAUAAAAGUGCGCUUCCCUUCCAUACUUUCACAUCAUCACUUACUGAACAUUGCGAAUUACAUAUUAUUAUACAAUACUCUUCUCUGAUUUUCUCUGAGGUCUUUUGUAUUUCUUGCUCCCAAACCUGGCUUACUAGACUCGUGCUUUCAAUUAUUUAUUUUUCUGAAACUAGUAUGUCCUCAUUCUGAUUCCAGCAUCACCAAUAUGUUUGUUUACAAGCUUUUACAUCCAUCCCCACUUUACUAUUUUUUUAGAGUUCAACAUUUAAUGUGGUGUGCUUACGUCUUGCUAUCUGUUUCUGCAAUGAAUCCUCGUUCCCUACCCCUUUGUGUGUUUGGGCUAUGGUUUAUAACAUGGCAACAUACAAAUUGUUGUCCAUGGAUUAAAACAAGAUCUUCUGUAUCCUAGCCUCUAAAUAAUGUAACAGACUUGUGGGAAUGUUAGCAUUUCCUAUUGCUAGGUGUGCCUACAGCCCGCGCUUGUCUCUUUCAGCUCCCCCAUACCCCAUUCCCCUAUGUGUGAAGAGUUAAGGUAUAGCCUAGCAGCACCCACAUUAUUUUCUAUGGUUGAACCAGGCCUUCAACAGGUCUUAGCUCCUCAAUUUGAACUGACAAGCUGGUCAGGGGUGUGCUAGCACCCAAAAUUGCUAGGCAUGGCCACCAGCUUGCCUUCUCCCCUUUUACUGCACUGGCACUUACUCUUAGACCCUAAUGUUCUGCCCCUCUCCUAUGAGCCCUGCUUGGGAACCUUGAGUUUUACUCUGAACUUGGACAUUUGAGGGCUGGCCCUUUCACACUGCACUAAUUAUGCACUGAUGUUUAGGGUGUAAGCAUUGCCUGGAGUUCUUGGAAUACCCUGGAACUUUGACACAUCCCAUAUAAGAGAGAGGCUUUGGAAAUCUGAUCUCUUUGGAGUUGGUCUACUUCAUGCUUCAGAUAGAAUCCUGAAUUGGGCUCUCCUUGGCUAGGG